CCUGCCCUAACCCAUGGCCUAUUUCACCUUAACCUAACUGUAUACUUUAUUUGGUUCUUAUUCAUUUUGCACCACAGCAGCAGCUUCGCAGCAGCCAAACGUUCUCUUCUUAUUCUUAUUCUUAUUCUUCUUAGGCCACCACCACUCACAAGCUACCCACGAGCCACCCAUGAGCGAGAGAUUUGUCCUACCACCACCACUCACGAGCCACCAUCACCACUCACAAACCACCACCAGUCGCGACCCACCACCUCCACCACACACUCAUGCCGCAAGCCACCACUACCACGCGAGCGACCAAGCACAAGCGACCACUGCUCGAGUCACCACCACCAUGCGAGCACCACCACACGAACCAUUACCAUAGGGGGAACAUGAUGGAGAAAGAAAAGGUUGAAGAUCUAGAAGAAGAAACAUAGACUCAAAAUGAUGAGUGGCAGACGAGGAGAGACAAAGAAACGGUAGGAUAGCCCAUCAGCCCGCCGAUCAGUCCAGUAACGGGAGGGGUUCAACUUUUAGACUCGUUUUCUGAUGUCGAACUGGCCUGGCCUGACCCGAUUUUGAAGGGUUAGAAGCGAAACGGGUCUAAUCGGGACGGGUCAGCCCAUUUUGACAUCCUUAAUUAGGAGAGCUUCCCAUAACUAAAUCAGCUUGUCAAUUGGGGGAGCAGAAGAUAAAUUAUGACUUUAUAACUAAGUGCGAUAUUAACCAAGAAAAAGUUUGUCCCCUCUUUGGGAGAGACAUUUGCAUUUAUAGGCAA